UUCCGGAGGUCCGUUCUUAACCUGAAACUGUUCUUAACCUGAAGCACCACUUUAGCUAAUGGGGCCUCCUGCCGCCGCGCGAUUUCUGUUCUCAUCCUGAGGUAAAGUUCUUAACCCGAUGUACUAUUUCUGGGUUAGCGGAGUCUGUAACCUGAAGCGUAUGUAACCUGAAGUGCAUGUAACCCGAGGUACCACUGUAAACCCAUGUACAAACCAUUAAGUUUUAAAAUGGAGAGCUAGAAACACACACACACCCCUUGAACUGAACGAAGCAAGUUAAUCUGCCAGAGUUCCAUCAGGGGGAAAGGUGGGGUGUAAAUAAAUGUAUAAAAAUAAUCCAAAGUUCAGCAGUUAAUUUAAAAAACAACAACCCCAGAUGAAAAUGGAAAUUGUUUCUUGUAUUUUUUAAUUAUUUAUUGAUUGUGGGGGUGCCUGAGCAGUAUACAGUUGGCAUAAAUAAAAGUUUAGCAUCACAUUAAAAUAUAUCUUAUCUAUCUAUCUUUCAGUGAUGGGGAACUUGUUGGACUCCAGCUUCCAUCAUUCCUGAUCAUUGGCUACACUAUUUGGGGCUUAUGGGAGCUGAAGUCCAACAACAUCUGGAGGGCCAUGGGUUCCCCACCCCUGAUUUAUAGUGUUUUUCCUAAGUGUUUCAGGUCACUUUGCAUAUAUUGUCUUGACAGUUCUCACCGAAAAAGUGUGAGGUAGAAUGGUGUUGUUGUUAAACUCUACUGCAGACAGUAGCUUGAAGCUGAGGAGAGCAGCACCAGCCUAAUUCUGUAGCAUGUCCUACUUUCUUCAUCAGACUUCUGCCUUCUGUAUACAGGUUUAUCGCCCAAAGAACAUUACUUUUUUUUUAACUUGUUCAGAUAUGUGUCAAAAUGGAUCAUUAAUAAGACUUGAUCUAUUUAACAAGUACCUUUUCACUAGGGAAAUGUGUCAUGGUGAACAAUUAUUGCAUGUCCUAAUAACUGAUCUCAAAACAGUGUGCAGGCUUGUUUAUUUAUUUACAAUAGCUUCUAAAAGGUUUUUAAAAACCUCUAGCAAAUGUUAAUACUCAAAAAUUACAAGGUUGCUGCCUUAGAGAGCUUAUCAUUGUGGGGGGAAUGGACAGCUCAUUUUUGCAACUGCUAUGUAUCAGAUCUUUCUGUACUUCAAACAGAUAAAUCCCCAUUAUAUAAAUGAAUUUUUAAAAAUGCUUUCCACAUGUUCUCUCUGACAUUUGAUGGCUUGCUUAGAAAGUUACUUAUCCUAACAUCCCAUUCCCAUGCUUCAAUUAUUCAACCACUGGCUUCUUUAAAACUUUUAAACUCAUUACAACACGGUGAAGAAGUUAACAGAAGUUAAGAGUACAGAUACUGUAUUUACUUGAGUCUAAUGCACCAUCUAAUCUAAUGCACACCUCAGUUUUCAGAACCUUGAAACCAAAAUAGUAUUUGCUGGUGAAUGUAAAUGUGCUAUCGAAUCUAAUGCGCACCUUAAUUUUUGCAACCAAAAAAGGUGAGCGUUAGAUUUGAGUAAAUACUGUAUGGUAAUUCAAUAUGCAUCAUUUUCUCAGUUCAUCUCCUAGUGUAAAACUGAGGUGACAACGAUGGUGUGUGAUGCCAAAUGAGACUGGGAGUGGGAGCUUUUAAAAAAAGCAACUCAAAGUAACAACUUCACUAGAAAUUGAAACUAGAGGUGGCCUUCCUAGAGCAGCCUCAGGCCUAAUUUGUGCAGAUAGACUCUGGUGAAGAAGAGAAAAGGGGUGUGUGGGCAGGGAGGAGUGGGAGAGGGGAAAUGGGGUGGCAGAGAGAGAGAGAUAGCCCCACUCAAAGACAACCCCAAGGCAAUCCAUGUUUUGACUGGAAAAUAAUUCCCCAUAUGUAAUUUAAUAUGUAUGGUGAGAAUCUGCCCCAAGAAUGCAUGCAGCUGUUGUGACUGGCAGUGGAAGUUGUCUUUUAGUGGUUUUUGAUACAGCUCUGUGCAUGCAGGAUGCCCUAUUUUAUUUA
rnacentral:lncRNA from 1 species